rnacentral:rRNA from 1 species
GACGAACCGAGCGAACGUUAUUCGGAAUCACUGGGCUUAAAGCGCGUGUAGGCGGGCCGCCACGUCGGCUGCUGAAAUCCCCCGGCUCAACCGGGGAACGGGCACCGAUACGAGCGGCCUGGAGGGGGGUAGGGGGGUCUGGAACUUCCGGUGGAGCGGUGAAAUGCGUUGAGAUCGGAAGGAACGCCCGUGGCGAAAGCGAGGCCCUGGACCCUUUCUGACGCUGAGACGCGAAAGCCAGGGGAGCGAACGGG